rnacentral:rRNA from 1 species
AGGAAAGAAACUAACAAGGAUUUUCUUAGUAGCGGCGAGGAAAAGAAAAUAGUUCAGCACUAAGUCACUUUGUCUUUAUGGCAAAUGUGAGAUGCAGUGUAUGGAACGUCUAUAAUCUAGUAUGAGGAAUUAACGAUUUAAGUCCUUCUUAAAUGAGGCCAUUUACCCAUAGAGGGUGCCAGGCCCGUAUAACGUUAAUGAUUAUUAGAAGGCGUUUCCAAAGAGUCGUGUUGCUUGAUAGUGCAGCACUAAGUUGGUGGUAAACUCCAUCUAAAACUAAAUAUAACCAUGAGACCGAUAGUAAACAAGUACCGUGAGGGAAAGUUGAAAAGAACUCUGAAUAGAGAGUUAAAUAGUACGUGAAACUGCUUAGAGGUUAAGCCCGAUGAACCUGAAUAUCCAUUACGGAAAAUUCAUCAUUAUGCCUGUUAUAUUAAUAAUAUAAUGGAAAUAGUGUGCAUUUUUUCUGUAUAAGGACAUUGUAAUCUAUUAACAUAUUGAAUAUUUAUCAAAAGAUCAUUUGCACAAGUUUAUUCAAAUUAGUUUGCUUGCAAAUUAACAUAGAAUUAAAUGCUUAUGAUUUGAUAAAGUGUUGAUAGAUUUAUUAAUAUAUAGUGCUUAAAUUCUUUUGAAUUUUAUAAUGUCAUGAUUAUCUUAUGAUUUUUAUGUUUAUUAUAUGCGCUUAUAUGAUUAACAAUGCGAUAGAUUCAGGAUACCUUCGGGACCCGUCUUGAAACACGGACCAAGGAGUCUAACAUAUGUGCAAGUCAUUGGGAUUUUAUAAUUAAACCCAAAAGCGUAAUUAACUUAACUGUACAUAAUGGGAUUAGUUUUUAGUCUAUUUAUAGUCUAUUAAUUCAAUCCCGGGGCGUUCUAUAUGGUUAUGUAUAAUAAUAUUUAUAUUAUUUAUACCUCUAACUGGAGCGUACCUUGAGCAUAUAUGCUGUGACCCGAAAGAUGGUGAACUAUACUUGAUCAGGUUGAAGUCAGGGGAAACCCUGAUGGAAGACCGAAACAGUUCUGACGUGCAAAUCGAUUGUCAGAAUUGAGUAUAGGGCGAAAGACCAAUCGAACC